UACAGAGGGUGCAAGCGUUAAUCGGAAUUACUGGGCGUAAAGCGUGCGUAGACGGUUACAUAAGUCGGGUGUGAAAGCCCCGGGCUCAACCUGGGAAUGGCAUUCGAGACUGUGUAGCUAGGAUGCGGAAGAGGGAAGCGGAAUUUCCGGUGUAGCGGUGAAAUGCGUAGAUAUCGGAAGGAACACCAGUGGCGAAAGCGGCUUCCUGGACCAGCAUCGACGUUCAGGCACGAAAGCGUGGGGAGCAAACAGG
rnacentral:rRNA from 1 species